rnacentral:rRNA from 1 species
UACGAAGGGGGCUAGCGUUGCUCGGAAUCACUGGGCGUAAAGGGUGCGUAGGCGGGUCUUUAAGUCAGGGGUGAAAUCCUGGAGCUCAACUCCAGAACUGCCUUUGAUACUGAGGAUCUUGAGUUCGGGAGAGGUGAGUGGAACUGCGAGUGUAGAGGUGAAAUUCGUAGAUAUUCGGCGGAACACCAGUGGCGAAGGCGACUCACUGGCCCGAUACUGACGCUGAUGCGCGAAAGCGUGGGGAGCAAACAGG